rnacentral:tRNA from 1 species
CAGGACGUAGCCGGCACUGUUGCGGUAGUCGGCGUUGGCGUCGCCGAUCACCGUUCCCGCCGCGUCCGUGGUGCCGUCCGCCGUCUUGA